rnacentral:rRNA from 1 species
UACGGGGGGAGCAAGCGUUGUUCGGAUUUACUGGGCGUAAAGGGCGCGUAGGCGGCGUGACAAGUCACUUGUGAAAUCUCCGAGCUUAACUCGGAACGGUCAAGUGAUACUGUCGUGCUAGAGUACAGAAGGGGCAACUGGAAUUCUCGGUGUAGCGGUGAAAUGCGUAGAUAUCGAGAGGAACACCUGCGGCGAAGGCGGGUUGCUGGGCUGAUACUGACGCUGAGGCGCGAAAGCCAGGGGAGCGAACGGG